GGCCUACCAUGGUUUUAACGGGUAACGGGGAAUUAGGGUUCGAUUCCGGAGAGGGAGCCUGAGAAACGGCUACCACAUCCAAGGAAGGCAGCAGGCGCGCAAAUUACCCAAUCCCGACACGGGGAGGUAGUGACAAUAAAUAACAAUACAGGGCUCAUUCGGGUCUUGUAAUUGGAAUGAGUACAAUUUAAAUCCCUUAACGAGGAACAAUUGGAGGGCAAGUCUGGUGCCAGCAGCCGCGGUAAUUCCAGCUCCAAUAGCGUAUAUUAAAGUUGUUGCAGUUAAAAAGCUCGUAGUUGAAUUUCGGGGUUCCACCGUUGGUCGGGCUAUUGUCUGUACUGGCGUGUGGAAUUUCUACCUUCUGGGGAACUAUCAUGUUAUUAAUUUAGCGUGGUAGGAAACCAGGACCUUUACCUUGAAAAAAUUAGAGUGUUCAAAGCAGGCUCAUGUCUGAAUACAUUAGCAUGGAAUAAUAAAAUAGGACGGUGGUCCUGUUUUGUUGGUUUCUGAAUCACCGUAAUGAUUAAUAGGGAUAGUUGGGGGCAUUAGUAUUCAAUUGUCAGAGGUGAAAUUCUUGGAUUUAUUGAAGACUAACUACUGCGAAAGCAUUUGCCAAGGAUGUUUUCAUUAAUCAAGAACGAAAGUUAGGGGAUCGAAGACGAUCAGAUACCGUCGUAGUCUUAACCAUAAACUAUGCCGACUAGGGAUCGGACGAUGUUAACUUUUCUUGACUCGUUCGGCGCCUUACGGGAAACCAAAGUGUUUGGGUUC
rnacentral:rRNA from 1 species